GAUGAACGCUGGCGGCGUGCUUAACACAUGCAAGUCGAACGGAAAGGCUCCUGCUUGCCGGGGUACUCGAGUGGCGAACGGGUGAGUAACACGUGGGUGAUCUGCCCUGCACUUCGGGAUAAGCCUGGGAAACUGGGUCUAAUACCGGAUAGGACCACAUUUUGGAUGGUGUGGUGGAAAGUUUUUCGGUGUGGGAUGAGCUCGCGGCCUAUCAGCUUGUUGGUGGGGUAAUGGCCUACCAAGGCGUCGACGGGUAGCCGGCCUGGGAGGGUGUACGGCCACAUUGGGACUGAGAUACGGCCCAGACUCCUACGGGAGGCAGCAGUGGGGAAUAUUGCACAAUGGGCGCAAGCCUGAUGCAGCGACGCCGCGUGGGGGAUGACGGCCUUCGGGUUGUAAACUCCUGUCGCUAGGGACGAAGCGUUUUUGUGACGGUACCUGGAGAAGAAGCACCGGCUAACUACGUG
rnacentral:rRNA from 1 species